GAUGAACGCUGGCGGCGUGCCUAAUACAUGCAAGUCGAGCGAACAGACGAGGAGCUUGCUCCUCUGACGUUAGCGGCGGACGGGCGAGUAACAAGUGGAUAACCUACCUAUAAGACUGGGAUAACUUCGGGAAACCGGAGCGAAUACCGGAUAAAAUAUUUAACCUCAGGGUUCAAUAGGACAAGAAGGUUUUGCUGUGACUUAUGGAUGGAUCCGGGCCGCUUUAGUUGGUUGGUAAGGUAACGGCUUACCAAGGCGACGAUGCGUAGCCGACCGGAUGGGGUGAUCGGCCCCCCUGGAACUGAGACACGGUCCAGACUCCUACGGGAGGCAGCAGUAGGGAAUCGUCCGCAAUGGGCGAAAGCCUGACGGAGCAACGCCGCGUGAGUGAUGAAGGUCUUCGGAUCGUAAAACUCUGUUAUUAGGGAAGAACAAAUGUGUAAGUAACUAUGCACGUCUUGACGGUACCUAAUCGGAAAGCCACGGCUAACUACGUG
rnacentral:rRNA from 1 species